UACAGAGGGUGCGAGCGUUGUCCGGAAUCACUGGGCGUAAAGGGCGCGUAGGCGGCUCGGUCAGCGUGCGGUGAAAGCCCGGGGCUCAACCCCGGGUCGGCCGUGCGAACUGCUGGGCUGGAGCACUGUAGAGGCAGGUGGAAUUCCGGGUGUAGCGGUGGAAUGCGUAGAGAUCCGGAAGAACACCGGUGGCGGAGGCGGCCUGCUGGGCAGUAGCUGACGCUGAUGCGCGACAGCGUGGGGAGCAAACAGG
rnacentral:rRNA from 1 species